rnacentral:lncRNA from 1 species
GCGGUUACAAAUGUUGUUGUCAAUCAGUUACGCUCUCCAUCUAUAAAAAGGGACCUCCAUAUAUGUUCUUCUCUAAGCUCUAAACUCUAUCUCGAAAUUCUGCUAAAAUCCCAUUUGAGUGCUCCAUUUCUAUUAAGGCAAAGUACUAACUUGAGCGUCGAAGGAUUUUAUCGGAGCACCCCCAACUCCGAUUUAGACUUUUCUUGCAGGUUCUGACAACAGACGCGAUCCUCUCGACUCUAGCUUCUCCAACAUCGACGGAAUUCUCCACCAACAGAACCUGAACCUCAUGUGUAGUGGCAGCUAGACAUAGUCAACUGUUCAAUUCUGUUUGACCCNNN